rnacentral:tRNA from 1 species
AUUUAAAUAGCUUAAUAAGAGUGUAGUAUUGAAGAUACUAAGGUGAUAAUAAUAUCUUUAAAUA